rnacentral:tRNA from 1 species
GCCUGGGUGGCUCAUUCGGUUAAGCGUCUGACUUCGGCUCAGGUGAUGAUCUCACGGUUCGUGGGUUCGAGCCCACCUUCGGGCU